UGCGUAGGGUGCGAGCGUUAAUCGGAAUCACUGGGCUUAAAGGGCGCGUAGGCGGGCUGGUAAGUCAGGGGUGAAAGCCCACGGCCCAACCGUGGAAGUGCCUUUGAUACUGCCAGUCUCGAGGGAGGUAGGGGCGUGCGGAACUUCCGGUGGAGCGGUGAAAUGCGUAGAUAUUCGGCGGAACACCAGUGGCGAAGGCGACUCACUGGCCCGAUACUGACGCUGAGGCGCGAAAGCGUGGGGAGCAAACAGG
rnacentral:rRNA from 1 species